rnacentral:lncRNA from 1 species
AAAAUAGAAUUUGUCUACCAUCAAAAAACAAAAAAACCAAAGAGUAAAUACAAAUUUGGUCUAUGGAGACAAAGAAUUCAAGAAGUUCGAAGGAAUUCAAGAAAUUUCAAUUCAGAAUUUAGAAACUUGUGCCGAACUGGGACUCACGCCGGGACUGAGAGUCACGGGACUAGGGAGACUCGCGCCGGGAUCGACCAAGGUUUAGGG